AAGAAGAACAACAGGGAUUGCCCUAGUAACGGCGAGUGAAGCGGCAACAGCUCGAAUUUGAAAUCUGGCCUCGGCCCGAGUUGUAAUCUGUAGAGGAUGCUUUUGGCGCGGUGCCUUCCGAGUGCCCUGGAACGGGACGCCACAGAGGGUGAGAGCCCCGUAUGGUCGGACACCAAGCCUGUGUAAAGCUCCUUCGACGAGUCGGGUAGCUUGGGAAUGCUGCUCUAAGUGGGAGGUAAACUUCUUCUAAAGCUAAAUACUGGCCAGAGACCGAUAGCGCACAAGUAGAGUGAUCGAAAGAUGAAAAGCACUUUGAAAAGAGGGUCAAAUAGUACGUGAAAUUGUUGAAAGGGAAGCGCUCAUGACCAGACUUGCGCCGGGCUGAUCAUCCAGUGGUCUCCACUGGUGCACUCUGCCCGGCUCAGGCCAGCGUCGGCUGUCACGGGGGGACAAAAGCACUGGGAAAGUAGCUCUCUCCGGGGAGUGUUAUAGCCCUAUGCAGAAUACCCCCGCGGCGGCCGAGGUCCGCGCUCUGCAAGGACGCUGGCGUAAUGGUCAUCAGCGACCCGUCUU
rnacentral:rRNA from 1 species